UACGGAGGGUGCAAGCGUUGUCCGGAUUUAUUGGGUUUAAAGGGUGCGUAGGCGGUGUAAUAAGUCAGCGGUGAAAGGCCACAGCUUAACUGUGGACAUGCCAUUGAUACUGUUACACUUGAGAACGGUUGAGGUAGGCGGAAUUGAUGGUGUAGCGGUGAAAUGCAUAGAUACCAUCAAGAACACCGAUAGCGUAGGCAGCUUACUGAACCGUAUCUGACGCUGAGGCACGAAAGCAUGGGGAUCGAACAGG
rnacentral:misc_RNA from 1 species